GACGAACGCUGGCGGCGUGCUUAACACAUGCAAGUCGAACGGAAAGGCCCCUUUGGGGGUCCUCGAGUGGCGAACGGGUGCGUAACACGUGAGUAACCUGCCCUUGACUUCGGGAUAACUUCAGGAAACUGGGGCUAAUACCGGAUAGGAAUCCUUGCUGCAUGGUGGGGGUUGGAAAGCUUCGGCGGUUUUGGAUGGACUCGCGGCGUAUCAGCUUGUUGGUGGGGUAGUGGCUUACCAAGGCUUUGACGGGUAGCCGGCCUGAGAGGGCGACCGGCCACAUUGGGACUGAGAUACGGCCCAGACUCCGACGGGAGGCAGCAGUGGGGAAGAUUGCACAAUGGGCGGAAGCCGGAUGCAGCAACGCCGCGUGCGGGAUGACGGCCUUCGGGUUGUAAACCGCUUUCAGCAGGGGCGAAGCUUGUGGUGACGGUACCUGCAGAAGAAGCACCGGCUAACUACGUG
rnacentral:rRNA from 1 species